CCUACGGGAGGCAGCAGUGAGGAAUAUUGGACAAUGGGCGCAAGCCUGAUCCAGCCAUGCCGCGUGCAGGAUGGCGGUCCUAUGGAUUGUAAACUGCUUUUAUACAGGAAGAAACCACUCUACGUGUAGAGUCUUGACGGUACUGUAAGAAUAAGGAUCGGCUAACUCCGUGCCAGCAGCCGCGGUAAUACGGAGGAUCCAAGCGUUAUCCGGAAUCAUUGGGUUUAAAGGGUCCGUAGGCGGUUUAGUAAGUCAGUGGUGAAAGCCCAUCGCUCAACGGUGGAACGGCCAUUGAUACUGCUAGACUUGAAUUAUUAGGAAGUAACUAGAAUAUGUAGUGUAGCGGUGAAAUGCUUAGAGAUUACAUGGAAUACCAAUUGCGAAGGCAGGUUACUACUAAUUGAUUGACGCUGAUGGACGAAAGCGUGGGUAGCGAACAGGAUUAGAUACCCUGGUAGUCCACGCCGUAAACGAUGGAUACUAGCUGUUGGGGGCAACUUCAGUGGCUAAGCGAAAGUGAUAAGUAUCCCACCUGGGGAGUACGAACGCAAGUUUGAAACUCAAAGGAAUUGACGGCUGAGAGAGCGAGAGACGACGAGGGAGGAGG
rnacentral:rRNA from 1 species